rnacentral:misc_RNA from 1 species
GAUGAAGAACGCAGCAAAAUGCGAUAAGUAAUGUGAAUUGCAGAAUUCAGUGAAUCAUCGAAUCUUUGAACGCACAUUGCGCCCCUUGGUAUUCCAUGGGGCAUGCCUGUUCGAGCGUCAUUUGUACCUUCAAGCUCUGCUUGGUGUUGGGUGUUUGUCUCGCCUCUGCGUGUAGACUCGCCUCAAAAUAAUUGGCAGCCGGCGUAUUGAUUUCGGAGCGCAGUACAUCUCGCGCUUUGCACUCAUAACGACGACGUCCAAAAGUACAUUUUUACACUCUUGACCUCGGAUCAGGUAGGGAUACCCGCUGAACUUAAGCAUAUCAUAAGCGGAGGA